AUCCUUUUCUAGUUCAUAAGUGUGAUGGUUGGGUGUUCACGCUCUUGUGUGACAUAUGUUUCCCACAAACCUCGUUACGAUUGCAGCACAUUACCCAUCUGACA